GAUGAACGCUGGCGGCGUGCCUAAUACAUGCAAGUCGAGCGAACAGACGAGGAGCUUGCUCCUCUGACGUUAGCGGCGGACGGGUGAGUAACACGUGGAUAACCUACCUAUAAGACUGGGAUAACUUCGGGAAACCGGAGCUAAUACCGGAUAAUAUAUUGAACCGCAUGGUUCAAUAGUGAAAGACGGUUUUGCUGUCACUUAUAGAUGGAUCCGCGCCGCAUUAGCUAGUUGGUAAGGUAACGGCUUACCAAGGCAACGAUGCGUAGCCGACCUGAGAGGGUGAUCGGCCACACUGGAACUGAGACACGGUCCAGACUCCUAAGGGAGGCAGCAGUAGGGAAACUUCCGCAAUGGGCGAAAGCAUGACGGAGCAACGCCGCGUGAGUGAUGAAGGUCUUCGGAUCGUAAAACUCUGUUAUUAGGGAAGAACAAUUGUGUAAGUAACUAUGCACGUCUUGACGGUACCUAAUCAGAAAGCCACGGCUAACUACGUG
rnacentral:rRNA from 1 species